AGAUUGAACGCUGGCGGCAGGCCUAACACAUGCAAGUCGAGCGGCAGCACGGGUACUUGUACCUGGUGGCGAGCGGCGGACGGGUGAGUAAUGCCUAGGAAUCUGCCUGAUAGUGGGGGAUAACGUUCGGAAACGGACGCUAAUACCGCAUACGUCCUACGGGAGAAUGGUGGGGGAUCUUCGGACCUCACGCUAUCAGAUGAGCCUAGGUCGGAUUAGCUAGUUGGUAGGGUAAAGGCUCACCAAGGCGACGAUCCUUAGCUGGUCUGAGAGGAUGAUCAGCCACACUGGGACUGAGACACGGCCCAGACCUCCGUACGGGAGCAGCAGGUAGGGAAUAUUGGACAAGUGGGCGCAAGCCUGAUCCGAGCAAUGCCGCGUGGAGGAUGACGGUUCUUCGGAUU
rnacentral:rRNA from 1 species